UGAGACUUUCAACACACCGGAGAAAGCAUCACACAACAUGCUGGAAACUAAUGUAAACUCCCACUGCAACGUUACAAUAAUAGGCUACUUUUAUCAGCUUGACGUUGAACUAAUGCUCCAUGCUCGUACCAUGAUAACGUUACAUUGACUGCAUUUAGCUGACAUGUGGUGUUAGCAUAAGGCAUUUCACUAACUAUUCGUGUAUCUUUCACAAUCAGCAAUGUCAACAUAGUGAACUAGACUGAACAAUUUCAGUGUAACAGUAAGAUCGUAGGAAGUAACAUUACUGUACUGAACGUGUCUGGAAAUGUGUAU